UUGACAGAUGUAGUGUUUGGAACACUGUGAAUUCUAUUGAGGUACUCAAGCUACUGUCUCAUUUUAGCGCGCGUGCAAGACAUUUUAACGCUCGUGCAAGAAUAGAACGCGUAAGUCUCAUAACGAAUAGUAUUAUCAGUCAGAGUUCAAGUCAAACAAUGUAGAAAUUCCUCAAAACAGGAAGCAGACGGCUACAUAACAAGCGAAACAGGGACCUCUGAGGAUCAUUUACUAAGGGCACAAAUAGCAUAACAAACCACAGUUAAGAUCAUGAACAUGUUAUAAGUUUGCAUUUAUAAAAAAGCCAACUCAAAUUAGUUUUAUUUUACACCUGAUUGGUCGAUCGUAAACAGUAUAUGUUCUUGCCGUUUCAGCGAACUGUCCAGCAAUAGUAUAUUUAAGAUCCGUUGGUACUUCUUUGAUGAUCUAGGGAAUUUGACCACAUUGUCAUUAUCGAGAAAUCCGCUCAGAGAGAUUCCGCUACCAACUUUCAGACAUCUUUCUGGCCUUAAACUCGUGUCGUUCGUCGGUGUGCCUUCCUCUACAAUUGUCUUCAGAAAAAAUGGCAGGCUGGGAGUAUUCAGUGGGUGUGUACAUUGCUUUGAACCUCGCAGCAUUCCUUUUCAUCGUGGCAGCCUACAUCGCCAUUAUUGUCAGUCUCAAAGUCACAGCGAAGAGUCAAAGCUCAUGGUGAAUCUGACGUGAGUUCUUAUAGAAAUGAUCAAAAGAGAAUCCGCUCUGGCAAGGAGAGUGUUGGCCAUCAUCUUGCUGGGUUCCUGUAAUUAUUUUCAUUAUCCUUGCUUUUAUCGAUCGUUUCCGUGACAACGACGGAGAGGUUUGCAUGUUCGUUGCAGUCUUUGUUCAUCCGGUUAAUUCUUCUAUCAAUCCAGUGCUCUACACAUUUUCGACGCUCAGGAUAAGGAUAAAUCAUAACGCUAGCUAUUUCCCUCGCCAUAAGAGAAAUCACUACUUCGUUGCUUGUUUCCCCGCGUUCCUGUGCUUGUCUCUGCGUUGUUGCAUCCAUGCUUCCUUACAACAAAUUCACAAGCUUAGCAAUUUACCAGCUUACCUGCUCUCCGGUUACCUGCUUUAAAACAGUUUCCUUGCUUCCCUGUUUCCCUGCGGCCCUGCCUCCCCAUAAAAGAAUUCAGGUGACGCACACUUUGUUGAUAUUUUUCAUUAGGUGAAAAGUGUUUUGAAAGGCUGGUUCUGUUUCAUCCGCCAUAGAGUUUCAAGAACGCAAAAUUUGACUGAUUUUUCUAAAAGAAUCAACAAGAAAACGAAUGAGAGUGUUAAAGAAAAGAAGUUCUCGUCGAUAAUGGAAGAGAUGCCGUCGUCCAAAGAAGAAAUACAGUUCGAGAACAACGCCGAUGGAAUUAAGCAAUAGAGGACUCUUUCCUUGUAUCAUACAUAGCCUCAUCUAAACACGAGGGGGUUGGGAGAAUUCGAGACAGUUAUGCAAACCCAAACCUUUACUGCGUCUCGGGUUUGCAUAAAUUCCUCCCCCAACCCCUCACCCCGAGUGUUUCGAUUAGGCUACGGAACACGGAUAAAAAGCCAUCUAUUGCUUUUAAAGAAUAUAACCGUGUUUACAUACUCUCAUUUAAUCACACCUAUCGACCAAUGAGAGCGCGCGUACUAUCUUAAAUAUCUUAUUAAUAGGGACGGAGUUAAGGCAGAGUGUCACGCUGAAUGAAACUUAUUACCGAUUCACAUUCUAUUCUGUUGUGAAACAAAAGCUAGCUGAAUAUUUAAAACACGACCGAAAGUCAUAGUGGUGAAAUCAAAAUUAUACCGAAACUGAAUUAACCAUGACAGUAUUUCGAAGUAGAACUUGAGAACCGGCAAGCUGUGCAAUGGAUAAAUAGAACAAUCUAAUUAUUGCUACGUUGAUAAGACUGUUGAUAUGUCUUUACCUGCAUAGUGUUAAUUGACGAUCAAGAAACCAUUUAAAUGUGCACGUAGUCGCUGUAAUAUAUAUUAAAAUGUCCAUUAGUCGUUCUAGAAAGGCAGAUUUUUAAGACAGUCAAUUGCGCUUAUCAUCCUAAGGCGGUCUUGUAACUAACUAGACGAUUCUGAGAAUUCGUAUUCUGAGAGCACGAUAAAAAAUAAAAACUCCACCGGAGUCUGUCAUGACAGAAUAACAAGGUGUCCUUUUGGUUUUCCUAUAGCAUUCGCAAUUUUUAUUUUUUUCAGAAAUGGAAAAUAUUUACAGAAUUAAGGGAAAAUGAAAUUUGAGACCCGAAAUGGCCGUAGUUGCUUGCUAACUACUGUUGUCAACGUCUUAUUUUCGGGAUUUGCAGACAAUAAUGACCGAGUAUCCGGUUAGAUUAACGGGGACUGAAGUCGUUUAAUAAGACUCCAAUCAAAAAGGGAAAGCUAUCCCGGCGAUGACUUUUAUAAAACUGAACACACUUGACGUAAAAAGGAAUGACAAACGAUGAGCUUUUCAACAGAAUAUACCUAUUUUAUAUUCAUUAAACCACAAAAUAUAUGACACAAAUUGAUUUUGAAUCCCUUUAUUCCUCGUUCUUUUCAACAUGUUUUGUUAUAGUUUACUUCUACCAUUAUUUCCUUCACCUUAAUUUUAGUUUUCCCGAGACAUACUCACGGUAUAGCUUUAUACGUGAGUUGCCUUACACAACUCGAUUAU